UUUGGACAAGAUUUUCCUUUUUUUCUGAGGAAAAUGGGCUUUGCCAUCUUAGACUCUUCCAUAGUCUAUGAAGACUCACUGCCAUGGGUCACUCCCCCACAAGCCCAGCAUACAACUCUUAAUUCAACAUCUUUUUACUUUUCUAUUAGUGAAUUUAUCCCUUUUCAGGGCUCCCUAAAAGUGUUGUCUGUUAAAAAUUAGCAUCUCUCCUUUUGAGAACAGAACUGAGAACAUCACUUUUUAACCUAGAAUAAGAUAAUAAAAUAUUCUUUAUGUUAUUGUAAAAUUGCUAAUGUUCUUCCUACGGUGACAGCUGGAAUGUAACUAUUUUAGUGUCACCACAUCCACAUGUGUCUUUUCCUAACUCAGCUAAAUUCUGAAACUCUUUCCUUAAGUGACUUCUAUUUUAAAUGUUUGGUCCACAAAUUUUUUGCAUGUAAGCAAGUUUACACUAAGAAACAGCAUUGAUAACUAAUAAAAAAAU